GACGAACGCUGGCGGCGUGCUUAACACAUGCAAGUCGAACGGAAAGGCCCUGCUUGCAGGGUACUCGAGUGGCGAACGGGUGAGUGACACGUGGGUGAUCUGCCCUCCACUUCGGGAUAAGCCUGGGAAACUGGGUCUAAUACCGGAUAGGAGCCAUUUUUAGGGUGAUGGUUGGAAAGUUUUUUCGGUGUAGGAUGAGCUCGCGGCCUAUCAGCUUGUUGGUGGGGUAAUGGCCUACCAAGGCGGCGACGGGUAGCCGGCCUGAGGGGGUGGACGGCCACAUUGGGACUUAGAUACGGCCCAGGCUCCUACGGGAGGCAACAGGGGGGAAGAUUGCACCAUGGGCGCAAGCCUGGUGCAGCGACGCCGCGUGGGGGAUGACGGCCUUCGGGUUGUAAACUCCUUUCGCUAGGGACGAAGCUUUUUGUGACGGUACCUAGAUAAGAAGCACCGGCUAACUACGUG
rnacentral:rRNA from 1 species